GUUUAUUGUUACCAUUUUUCAAGCUAUUUAUCCGUACCUAAAAUACUUAAAAACUUGAAAAAAUCCGGUUUUAAUUUGGUUACUCUAUGGACCACUUUUUUUUAAAUGACAAUGAUCAAAAUCAUAGUUUUGUUAGGUAAAGAAUUGCGACUGGCAUUUUUUCCAAUUGGCCUAGGGGCAGCGUUAAGUUUGAAUUCGGCACUGUAAUGGUACAGUACAGUGCAGUACAGUACAGUAAAUACCGUUAGAAAGUGAAAUAUGUAAUUAAAACAUUAAAAAAAACAAUGUUUAUUUAAGUAAUAAUUAUUAUUAUUGGAAUAAAGUACAAUUUCUAUAAUUCGAAA